rnacentral:misc_RNA from 1 species
ACACUAUCAACUCUAGUUAAGAGUUGGAACUGACCUCAUAUGCUGUUUGCAUAUCUGGUUUGAAUGUAUUGAGUUGAUGAGCUUCCCAACACUGCUCAAUGUGUGCUAGCGAGACAGUCGUCCCGAUCUCACAUUAUAGCUUUGUUGCAAGGUUCUAUUCACAACUUUUUAUUAAUUUUAUCGA